rnacentral:tRNA from 1 species
GGGGUUGUGGCUCAGUGGUAGAGCACUUGCCUAGCACACAUGAGAUACUGGGUUCGAACCUCAACACCA